GACAGCAUGUAUGUGGUGUAACAUGUAAACAAGCUUGAUAAAAUAUAUACGUAUGAAUAAUUAAAAUAAAAUAACAUAAAAUUAGUCGUAAACAAUUGAAAAUUUGAUAAGUGUUUAGAAAAAAAAAAACCACUCCGCUGACUGACGUGCGUUAUAUGUCAUGUACCUGAAACUACGCGGUGAACUGAUGGUUUGCAGUGUUUAUAAAGUGAUGCACAGUAGAGGUUAUAAAGAGAAAAUAUUUAUAAUUUUAUAUUUAUUAGUUUCUUUCUAUAUAUAAUUUUUAUCGAAGUACUACUAAACACAGUCAUCAUAAAGGAUAAAUACACAUAAAAUGAUGGUUACAACAAACAAGAAUUAAUAAUUUUAGUUUGAACUUGCCCGAGUUGCUAAACAUACACUUGGGAAACUGAUGGAUUUUUGUAGCGAUGGAAUAGCUACAAGAGCUACUUGUCAAGACAAAACAGCCUGAAGUAAAAAGGAUAAAAGGCUUGAAAUGUAUGGACCAGAGAAGAAUAGAAAAAUAUUGCGGACUAUCAGAACUGACUGCUCCGGCCAUAAGUAACCAAGGAAAUCAAAGAGAAAAAAUUCUCGCUGGAAUAUAAACGGUUAUAUGGGUCAAAUUGAAAAAUUAAAACGCAGGUAUUGUGACAUUAAUAUUUUUAUGUAAAUUAAUUUAAUUCUUUUCUGAUAGGAUGCCGGUUAACACUUACGUGUUAAAUAUAAAUAGGAUGAAAUUGAUGAAAUUUCAUCCCAAAUAAGGCUUAAUUAUUGCUUUAAAGUUAAUAUUAAUUUAAAAAUAAUUUACAAUAAAAUUUUAAUAUUGUAAAAUAAAAUGUAAGAUAAGAUUAAAAAUAUUUCAGUAGGUCUGGUUGUGUAGAUUUUCGUAAUCUACAUGAAGCUAAGACCUUGUCAUUAGAUAAUAAUCGAUUUAUAGUUUAAGAAAAAUAUUAAUUAAAAAACAAUCUACGAUGCAAUUUGAAUAUUGUAAAAUAAAAUGUUAAAUAAGAUUUAAAAAUAUUUCAGUAGGUCUGGUUGUGUAGAUUUUCGUAAUCUACAUGAAGCUAAGACCUUGUCAUUAGAUAAUAAUCGAUUUAUAGUUUAAGAAAAAUAUUAAUUAAAAAACAAUCUACGAUGCAAUUUUAAUAUUGUAAAAUAAAAUGUAAGAUAAGAUUAAAAAUAUUUCAGUAGGUCUGGUUGUGUAGAUUUUCGUAAUCUGCAUGAAGCCAAGACCUUGAAAUUAGAUAAUAAUCGUUUUAUAGAUUAAGAGAAAUAUUAAUUGAAAAACACUUCGCAAUAAAAUUCGAAUAUUGUAAAAUGAGAUUAAAAAAAUGUCAGUAGGUCUGGUUGUGUAGAUUUUCGUAAUCUACAUGAAGCUAAGACCUUGUCAUUAGAUAAUAAUCGAUUUUUACUAUUAUUAUUUUUAUAAUUAUUAUUUACCCAAAAAUGAAGUAUUUGCUCACGAUUGAAUAAGUUCAAUAAUAGUCCAAAAAUAACUUCUUUUGAGUUGGAAUAUUUGGUUGAGUCCGGUUUUGUUAAUUUUCAUUAUCGGCCUAAAACCAGGGUUUUCAAACCAAAUUUCACCAAUUAUAUAAAUUUUCACAUUCUAAUAACUAAUAAUUUUUUAGACAACCAUAUAAGAGACGCAUAAAAUUUUCAUGUUAUUUUUGAAUUAUCUCAAUCAUUUGAACAUGUACUUGAAAUUUUUAAGUUCUCUUACUUAUCGAUUUAAGUCUAAAAAUUCUUAACGCUGUCACGCUCACAGAGGGCGUUAGUGAUAUAAAGCGUGUUAAAAAGUACUUAUCUGGUGAGCUCACUACUCGGGGAAAGGAACCCUUUUUACCGGUAAAUUAUCUAUAAACCGCUCUUAAUAAAAGUAAUGAAAUACUUUAAACCAUUUGAAUAGUUUAAAAUUUUAAUGACAGGUUCUAUUCACUUAUAGUUAAAAUUUAAUAUUAUCACUUAUUAAUUAUCAUCAUUAAUUAAUUCACAUUAUAAAAUAAACAAUUUAUAAUAAAUUUAAUAUUUGUUUUGAUCGCCCACAAUCGAAUUCCCACGAUAAUAUCGAGUCUUUUAUACAUUUUUAAAUAUUAAUUUUCACAGAAUUGUUAUUUAUCCUACUACUUUUUAAUCACGAUAAUAAACUAUUUAUUACACCACUAAUUUAGCAUAGUAAUAAAUUAUAUAUAAACGAAUUCAUAUAAAAUUAUUUGUAUUAUAUAGUUAUUAUUAUGUUUAAUUACACAACACUUUACUUAGCAAAUUUUUAUCAUGAAUUUGAGGUUAUUUAGUAUAUUAUGUAAAUGUAAAUAUAUCUUGACGAAGACGGUACAUAGGUGGAUGUAAAGUUUAAUCAGGGUAUCACUUCUAAGUCAUCGAUUAUUCUUUAAUCAAAUGAAUUAUUUAAGAUAAACCAAUAUGAUCAAUAAUUUAAUUAAAAAAUAGAUUUACUUAUCCCUGAUUAAAAAAAGCGAUUUAAAACGAUUUGCAAUGUUAAAUGCCCAGAAGAAGAGGGAUUCAAAAGUAUUCAAUGUAUUCAAAAGCAUUAAAAAGUAUUUAAAAUUUUUUAUUUCGAAUCGUUUUAAAUCGCUUUUUUCAAUCAGGGAUACUUACAGAGAUAUGCAUUUUAUAAUUAGUACUUUUAUUUGAAAUAUUAUUCUUAUUUGAAAUAAAUUUUUCAAAUAAAAAGCAAAAUAUCAUUUCCUUUGAAACAACGUUUAUUAUAAUCAAAUUCUAGUAUACAAUACAAUAUAUACUUAAUACCGUUGGAAAGCCGCGAAUCUAUCAAAAAAAUUCCAAGAAUAUAUCAACAGUACACCCUCAAAACUCCGCAAAAACUCCAACAAAACCCCGUGUCAAAGCCGUUAAAACUCCGACGAUACACCGAUGAAACUCCGUAAAAACCCUAACAAAACUCCGGAGAAAUACCGACAAAACUCCGAGUGUCAAAGCCGCUAAAACUCCGACGAUACACCGACGAAACUCUGCGAAAACCCUAACAAAACUCCGAAGAAACACCGACAAAACUCCAAGAAUACACCGGCAAAACACCGACGAAAGUCCAAAGAAAAACCGAGAAAACUCCGGGUGGACACCGACCAAACUCGAAGAAAACACGAGAGAAACCUUGUCUCGUAACUGCACAAGAAACGCCGCCCUUCUACCAUCAAAACACCGUCGUAACUCCGUCGAUACACUGUGGAAACACUGUAAAGGAGUAAACACCGUAGAAACUCCGUGUUUUCACCACGUUUCUACGGUGUCGUCAAAACCGCUAGGGUUUUCCUUAAUUGUACAACGUUACGUUUUUUACAGGUUAUAUCUUACGUAUAUUUGAAUAUAUUUUUAUCAUUUUUGUAUUUAUUUUUUAAAUAUUAAAUAAUCAAUAAUAAAUAUUUUAAAUUAAUAAUAUAAUAAUAUUUAGUAGAAAUUAGAUUAAAUAAUAAUAUAAUAAUUUAUAUCAAUGAAUAAUACAUACGGAUAGUUAUCCUUAAUUAUAUUGGAACACUUGAAAAAGUAUAUAAGCACAAUUUUCUUCACUAAUAUUUACAAAUAAGUAGUAAAUAAUAUUUAUCAAAAUGUUCAAUUUAAAUCACUAUAGUGAUUCAGUAUACUGAAUGUAAUUAUUAAGCACAUAUACAAUUCACACUUUUAAAACACGUGUUGUGUAUGUAGCAACUUCAACAUUUAGUUUUUGUGUAAACCCUGUGCGCGCGCAUCGUAAAGAUGCGGAUCAUACAGUAACAUAUAUGAUAGUACAUUCAGUAAUGUAUGGCCUAAGAUUGAAAUGAAAAUAACUAGAAAACAAUGCGAAACUCGAAUGAACUUUAUUCAUACUAAUUUGUAGGAAAUAAAAUUGUCUAUAAAAAAGAUUCUAUAACAUUUUUUGAUAUGUCUGAUAGUUUUGCUGGAAAAGUAAAAAGAUCUAAAAAUUUAUUAUAGAUUUGACUUCCAGCUCCGAUAAUUUUCGAAUGGAUGGAUCUAUCAAAAAAUGAUAAGAGACCUUUUUUGUAGAGCGUUAAAUUCUCUACAAUAAUAUGCUAUGAACUUAUUCAUAUGACGUGCGAAUGCCGAGCUAGAAAAAUAAAAAAAAAAAAAAUUUUUUC